rnacentral:rRNA from 1 species
UACGUAGGGUGCGAGCGUUGUCCGGAAUUAUUGGGCGUAAAGAGCUUGUAGGCGGUUUGUCGCGUCUGCUGUGAAAAUCCGGGGCUCAACCCCGGACUUGCAGUGGGUACGGGCAGACUAGAGUGUGGUAGGGGAGACUGGAAUUCCUGGUGUAGCGGUGAAAUGCGCAGAUAUCAGGAGGAACACCAAUGGCGAAGGCAGCUCGCUGGGACGUGACUGACGCUGAGACGCGAAAGCAUGGGGAGCGAACAGG